GGUCAGGGGGAGUGUGCCAUCGAAUUACAGACCCAUCAUCAGGUCACUGUACAGAAGACGCAGGGCUGAGGAAGCGGUGUGCUCAGUGUGGAGGCAGGACUGGAGCUGGAGCUGGGGCUGUAGCUUGCAUGUUCUGUCUUGGGGUCCCCACCCUUUCCCAGGUCACUAUCUGUCUUUAAAAGCUUCAGGUUACAAUAAGGGAUCGCUUGGUUGGUGAGUUGUUUUUUCUUUUCUUUCUUUUUUUUUUUUUCUUUCUGGUCUGCUUUUCCUUUUGAUUUGAUCUUUUUUGAUCUUUUCCUACAAGGUCCCUAGUCCCUGCAGGGGGAGCCUGUGUGAAAUCUUAGCUCUUAGAAGAAAAUUAUGUGAACAGUAGUUCUUGCUGCUGACCACACAAAGGGAUCACCUGGGGAGCUUUUGAAAAGACAGGUCUCUGGGCCCCACACCAGGUUAAUUAAGGCAGACUUAUGGGGUGGCCACAGGCCUUGGAAGUUUCAAAGAUCUCCAGAGAUUCAAUUGUGCAGCCUGGGUUGAGCAGUAAUCCAUGAAAGGUUUCAAAAGAGGAAAGAAAGAAGCUAAGAAAAACAAGACCAGCUCUGAAGAGCUGACCUGGGCACAGAUUCCAAGGAUACUGAAUAGAGAAUACUAUCCUACACAGUAAGACACUGUUGUUGAUCCAUUCUACAUACAGAAAAUUAAAAUAGAAGUGCCCAGACAGAAGUCCAUUUAGCCUGAAGUCUCCAGAUGGUCUGAUGGAAGUGUUGGAACAUUUUGGGACCUGGAUAAAGCACCAAAGCCCCAGGACUAGUGAUGGAAGAUUACAGAGUGCCAGCUGGAGGAUCAUCCCAAACAAGGGCAUUCUCCAUCCAAAAGCUGCCUAACGGGAUGCAACUUCCCACCACUCACACUGUGUACCUGAAGGAACAUUGUUACCUGAUCUAUGUGGACAGCUAUAAGAACAAAGGAUUCUGGGACCAAGAGGUUUUCAAUAAUUAAAUAUGCCCCUCCCUUCAUUUCAGUUCAGUUCAGUUCAGUCGCUCAGUCGUGUCCGACUCUUUGUGACCCCAUGAAUCACAGCACGCCAGGCCUUCCUGUCCAUCACCAACACCCGGAGCUUGCUCAAACUCAUGUCCAUUGAGUCGGUGAUGCCAUCCAGCCAUCUCAUCCUCUGUCUUCCCCUUCUCCUCCUGCCCCCAAUCCCUCCCAGCAUCAGGGUCUUGUCCAAUGAGUCAACUCUUCACAUGAGAUGCCCCUCCCUUACCUUGCCUUUUAAAGAGUUCUGCCAAUUUCUGGGGAGUUCUGGGUUUUUGGACAUGAGCAACCAGUUCUCUCACUUGUCCCUGCAAUAAAUAUUUCUCUCUUCCAAA